rnacentral:rRNA from 2 species
GGAUGUGAUCAUACCAGCACUAAAGCACCGGAUCCCAUCAGAACUCUGAAGUUAAGCGUGCUUGGGCGAGAGUAGUACUAGGAUGGGUGACCUCCUGGGAAGUCCUCGUGUUGCAUGCC